rnacentral:rRNA from 1 species
UACGUAGGGUGCAAGCGUUGUCCGGAAUUAUUGGGCGUAAAGAGCUCGUAGGCGGUUUGUCGCGUCUGCUGUGAAAACUCGGGGCUUAACCCCGGGCCUGCAGUGGGUACGGGCAGACUAGAGUGCGGUAGGGGAGACUGGAAUUCCUGGUGUAGCGGUGAAAUGCGCAGAUAUCAGGAGGAACACCGGUGGCGAAGGCGGCUCUCUGGGCCUUACCUGACGCUGAGGAGCGAAAGCGUGGGUAGCAAACAGG